rnacentral:rRNA from 1 species
UACAGAGGGUGCAAGCGUUGUUCGGAAUUACUGGGCGUAAAGGGCGCGUAGGCGGUCCGCUAAGUUAGAUGUGAAAACUCUGGGCUCAACCCAGAGCCUGCAUCUAAUACUGACGGGCUAGAGUUCUGGAGAGGGUAGCGGAAUUCCUGGUGUAGCGGUGAAAUGCGUAGAUAUCAGGAGGAACACCGGUGGCGAAGGCGGCUACCUGGACAGAAACUGACGCUGAGGCGCGAAAGCUAGGGGAGCAAACAGG